UUCAUGUUUCCUAUUAGCACAAGAUCUGCCA
rnacentral:piRNA from 1 species